GACGAACGCUGGCGGCGUGCUUAACACAUGCAAGUCGAACGAUGAAGCGCCAGCUUGCUGGUGUGGAUUAGUGGCGAACGGGUGAGUAACACGUGAGUAACCUGCCCCCUACUCUGGGAUAAGCCUGGGAAACUGGGUCUAAUACUGGAUAUGACCAAUCACUGCAUGGUGUGUUGGUGGAAAGAUUUUUGGGUGGGGGAUGGACUCGCGGCCUAUCAGCUUGUUGGUGGGGUAAUGGCCUACCAAGGCGACGACGGGUAGCCGGCCUGAGAGGGCGACCGGCCACACUGGGACUGAGACACGGCCCAGACUCCUACGGGAGGCAGCAGUGGGGAAUAUUGCACAAUGGGCGAAAGCCUGAUGCAGCGACGCCGCGUGAGGGAUGACGGCCUUCGGGUUGUAAACCUCUUUCACCAGGGACGAAGCUAACGUGACGGUACCUGGAGAAGAAGCACCGGCUAACUACGUG
rnacentral:rRNA from 1 species